CCUCCCACUCCUUGGAUUUCUCCUGGAGCCUCCAGGGCAGGACCUUGGAGGGAGGAACAACGAGCAGAAGGCCCUGGCGACCGGGCUGAGCCCCCAAGUGAAACUGAGGUUCAGGAGACCGGCCUGUCCCUGAGUUUGACUCUAAUGCCACCAUCCUCACGAGACUCUGGGGCCCCCCAGGCUCCCAGACCUUUGAGCAACCUUCACCGCACAGAAACCCAGCCGCGCCCUGCAAUUCCCACCGCGGAAGGUGCCGACCAACCCCCAGGAUGGCGGAAGCUCACCAGGCCGUGGCCUUCCAGUUCACGGUGACCCCAGACGGGGUCGACUUCCGGCUCAGUCGGGAGGCCCUGAAACACGUCUACCUGUCUGGGAUCAACUCCUGGAAGAAACGCCUGAUCCGCAUCAAGAAUGGCAUCCUCAGGGGCGUGUACCCUGGCAGCCCCACCAGCUGGCUGGUCGUCAUCAUGGCAACAGUGGGUUCCUCCUUCUGCAACGUGGACGUCUCCUUGGGGCUGGUCAGUUGCAUCCAGAGAUGCCUCCCUCAGGGGUGUGGCCCCUACCAGACCCCGCAGACCCGGGCACUUCUCAGCAUGGCCAUCUUCUCCACGGGCGUCUGGGUGACGGGCAUCUUCUUCUUCCGCCAAACCCUGAAGCUGCUUCUCUGCUACCAUGGGUGGAUGUUUGAGAUGCAUGGCAAGACCAGCAACUUGACCAGGAUCUGGGCUAUGUGUAUCCGCCUUCUAUCCAGCCGGCACCCUAUGCUCUACACCUUCCAGACAUCUCUGCCCAAGCUUCCUGUGCCCAGGGUGUCAGCCACAAUUCAGCGGUACCUAGAGUCUGUGCGCCCCUUGUUGGAUGAUGAGGAAUAUUACCGCAUGGAGUUGCUGGCCAAAGAAUUCCAGGACAAGACUGCCCCCAGGCUGCAGAAAUACCUGGUGCUCAAGUCAUGGUGGGCAAGUAACUAUGUGAGUGACUGGUGGGAAGAGUACAUCUACCUUCGAGGCAGGAGCCCUCUCAUGGUGAACAGCAACUAUUAUGUCAUGGACCUUGUGCUCAUCAAGAAUACAGACGUGCAGGCAGCCCGCCUGGGAAACAUCAUCCACGCCAUGAUCAUGUAUCGCCGUAAACUGGACCGUGAAGAAAUCAAGCCUGUGAUGGCACUGGGCAUAGUGCCCAUGUGCUCCUACCAGAUGGAGAGGAUGUUCAACACCACUCGGAUCCCGGGCAAGGACACAGAUGUGCUACAGCACCUCUCAGACAGCCGGCACGUGGCUGUCUACCACAAGGGACGCUUCUUCAAGCUGUGGCUCUAUGAGGGCGCCCGUCUGCUCAAGCCUCAGGAUCUGGAGAUGCAGUUCCAGAGGAUCCUGGACGACCCCUCCCCACCUCAGCCUGGGGAGGAGAAGCUGGCAGCCCUCACUGCAGGAGGAAGGGUGGAGUGGGCGCAGGCACGCCAGGCCUUCUUUAGCUCUGGAAAGAAUAAGGCUGCCUUGGAGGCCAUCGAGCGUGCCGCUUUCUUCGUGGCCCUGGAUGAGGAAUCCUACUGCUAUGACCCCGAAGAUGAGGCCAGCCUCAGCCUCUAUGGCAAGGCCCUGCUACAUGGCAACUGCUACAACAGGUGGUUUGACAAAUCCUUCACUCUCAUUUCCUUCAAGAAUGGCCAGUUGGGUCUCAAUGCAGAGCAUGCGUGGGCAGACGCUCCCAUCAUUGGGCACCUCUGGGAGUUUGUCCUGGGCACAGACAGCUUCCACCUGGGCUACACGGAGACCGGGCACUGCCUGGGCAAACCGAACCCUGCGCUCGCACCUCCUACACGGCUGCAGUGGGACAUUCCAAAACAGUGCCAGGCGGUCAUCGAGAGUUCCUACCAGGUGGCCAAGGCGUUGGCAGACGACGUGGAGUUGUACUGCUUCCAGUUCCUGCCCUUUGGCAAAGGCCUCAUCAAGAAGUGCCGGACCAGCCCUGAUGCCUUUGUGCAGAUCGCGCUGCAGCUGGCUCACUUCCGGGACAGGGGUAAGUUCUGCCUGACCUAUGAGGCCUCAAUGACCAGAAUGUUCCGGGAGGGACGGACUGAGACUGUGCGUUCCUGUACCAGCGAGUCCACAGCCUUUGUGCAGGCCAUGAUGGAGGGGUCCCACACGAAAGCAGACCUGCGAGAUCUCUUCCAGAAGGCUGCUAAGAAGCACCAGAAUAUGUACCGCCUGGCCAUGACCGGGGCAGGGAUCGACAGGCACCUCUUCUGCCUUUACUUGGUCUCCAAGUACCUAGGAGUCAGCUCUCCUUUCCUUGCUGAGGUGCUCUCGGAACCCUGGCGUCUCUCCACCAGCCAGAUCCCCCAAUCCCAGAUCCACAUGUUCGACCCAGAGCAGCACCCCAAUCACCUGGGCGCUGGAGGUGGCUUUGGCCCUGUAGCAGAUGAUGGCUAUGGAGUUUCCUACAUGAUUGCAGGCGAGAACACGAUCUUCUUCCACAUCUCCAGCAAGUUCUCAAGCUCAGAGACGAACGCCCAGCGCUUUGGAAACCACAUCCGCAAAGCCCUGCUGGACAUUGCUGAUCUUUUCCAAGUUCCCAAGGCCUACAGCUGAAGGUUGGAGAAAUGCCAGCUGCCCUUUCGUCCCCACACUGUGGAGGAAGGGACCUGUGGCAGCUCACAGGCAUGAGGGGUGGCCGUGCACAGGUGCCCAGGCUCCAAGGACAGCUCCGGCAGCAGCCCUUAGGUACCUGUGUUUUGUUUGGGAACUAGGAGGCCCUCCGCCUCCCCCAGCUCAGACCACAGAGGUGGCAAGAGAAGGGCUGAAGCUGGAAGACUGUUCAUGAGGGACUUGUGUGACCUGCUUUGAAAUGUGUGACUCUGCUGAGUGACGUAGGCUCUGAGAUAGCUGUCCACGCCCACGUGUUUGCUUGGAAUAAAUACUUGCCUCAGAACCUUCA